rnacentral:rRNA from 1 species
GGCAACCGGGGCGGGCGUGCCUAUACAUGCAAGUCGAGCGAACAGAGAAGGAGCUUGCUCCUUUGACGUUAGCGGCGGACGGGUGAGUAACACGUGGGCAACCUACCUUAUAGUUUGGGAUAACUCCGGGAAACCGGGGCUAAUACCGAAUAAUCUGUUUCACCUCAUGGUGAAAUAUUGAAAGACGGUUUCGGCUGUCGCUAUAGGAUGGGCCCGCGGCGCAUUAGCUAGUUGGUGAGGUAACGGCUCACCAAGGCGACGAUGCGUAGCCGACCUGAGAGGGUGAUCGGCCACACUGGGACUGAGACACGGCCCAGACUCCUACGGGAGGCAGCAGUAGGGAAUCUUCCACAAUGGGCGAAAGCCUGAUGGAGCAACGCCGCGUGAGUGAAGAAGGAUUUCGGUUCGUAAAACUCUGUUGUAAGGGAAGAACAAGUACAGUAGUAACUGGCUGUACCUUGACGGUACCUUAUUAGAAAGCCACGGCUAACUACGUGCCAGCAGCCGCGGUAAUACGUAGGUGGCAAGCGUUGUCCGGAAUUAUUGGGCGUAAAGCGCGCGCAGGUGGUUUCUUAAGUCUGAUGUGAAAGCCCACGGCUCAACCGUGGAGGGUCAUUGGAAACUGGGAGACUUGAGUGCAGAAGAGGAUAGUGGAAUUCCAAGUGUAGCGGUGAAAUGCGUAGAGAUUUGGAGGAACACCAGUGGCGAAGGCGACUAUCUGGUCUGUAACUGACACUGAGGCGCGAAAGCGUGGGGAGCAAACAGGAUUAGAUACCCUGGUAGUCCACGCCGUAAACGAUGAGUGCUAAGUGUUAGGGGGUUUCCGCCCCUUAGUGCUGCAGCUAACGCAUUAAGCACUCCGCCUGGGGAGUACGGUCGCAAGACUGAAACUCAAAGGAAUUGACGGGGGCCCGCACAAGCGGUGGAGCAUGUGGGUUUAAUUCGAGGCAACGCGGAGAACUUUACCAGGUCUUGACAUCCCGUUUGAACCACUGUAAAGAUAUGGUUUCCCCUUCCGGGGCAACGGUGACAGGUGGUGCAUGGUUGCCGUCAGCUUCGUGUCUUGAGAUGUUGGGUUAGUCCCGCAACGGGCGCAACCCUUUGAUUCUUAG